ACGGGAGGCAGCAGUGGGGAAUAUUGCACAAUGGGCGAAAGCCUGAUGCAGCCAUGCCGCGUGUAUGAAGAAGGCCUUCGGGUUGUAAAGUACUUUCAGUUGUGAGGAAGGGUUUGUAGUUAAUAGCUGCACAUCUUGACGUUAGCAACAGAAGAAGCACCGGCUAACUCCGUGCCAGCAGCCGCGGUAAUACGGAGGGUGCGAGCGUUAAUCGGAAUUACUGGGCGUAAAGCGCAUGCAGGUGGUUCAUUAAGUCAGAUGUGAAAGCCCGGGGCUCAACCUCGGAACUGCAUUUGAAACUGGUGAACUAGAGUGCUGUAGAGGGGGGUAGAAUUUCAGGUGUAGCGGUGAAAUGCGUAGAGAUCUGAAGGAAUACCAGUGGCGAAGGCGGCCCCCUGGACAGACACUGACACUCAGAUGCGAAAGCGUGGGGAGCAAACAGGAUUAGAUACCCUGGUAGUCCACGCCGUAAACGAUGUCUACUUGGAGGUUGUGGCCUUGAGCCGUGGCUUUCGGAGCUAACGCGUUAAGUAGACCGCCUGGGGAGUACGGUCGCAAGAUUAAAACUCAAAUGAAUUGACGNNNNHCCGCACAAGCGGUGGAGCAUGUGGUUUAAUUCGAUGCAACGCGAAGAACCUUACCUACUCUUGACAUCCAGAGAAGCCAGCGGAGACGCAGGUGUGCCUUCGGGAACUCUGAGACAGGUGCUGCAUGGCUGUCGUCAGCUCGUGUUGUUGAAAUGUUGGGUUAAGUCCCGCAACGAGCGCAACCCUUAUCCUUGUUUNHCAGCGAGUAAUGUCGGGAACUCCAGGGAGACUGCCGGUGAUAAACCGGAGGAAGGUGGGACGACGUCAAGUCAUCAUGGCCUUACGAGUAGGGCUACACACGUGCUACAAUGCGCAUACAGAGGCAGCAAGCUAGCGAUAGUGAGCGUAUCCCAAAAGUGCGUCGUAGUCCGAUUGGGUCUGCAACUGCUCAUGAGCGAUCGCUAGUAUCGUGAUCAGAUGUCACGUGAUACGUCCGG
rnacentral:rRNA from 1 species